AUAGUAAUGUAAUUAACAUCACAUUCAAAAUUCAGGUUUCAAUCACUUUUAAUUUUCCAAUUCUAUCAUGUAAAUAUGGGCUUCUGUGUAAGAAAUUCCAUAAGCAAAAUUUGCUGAAUGAGAUUUUCUGCCCCAAAUGUGUUUCAGUUCUUCAAUUCUUUCAUCCUGACUCUCCCCCACCCUCACAGAGUUGCUGUAGUAAAAGGCAUUCAGUGUGAAAUCAAAGAGGCAAAUGGAUGUAAACACUUCACAAAAUUAAACAAAGUGUUAAUUGCCUGUUUUAAUAAGACACAGAUGAAACAGAUGUUGACCACCACCAUGCUGGUACACACAACUCAAGUUCAUACCUGCCAGUUCUUUCACUUUCCAAGGAAGUCAUAUGAGAAGUGGACAAUAUGAUCAAUAAAAACAAUUGCUCCAUUUAGGGUACAAUCCCAUGCCUUCUCGCUGUCAUCUGAGGGGGCCUUAGAAUUCUUUGGAGUCCCAGCACUGAGGUCCUCUGUCUUCAAUGCUCUAAGGGCCAAGAAUCUACCUUGCCACUCUUUCAGUUGUCAUAGGUCCACCUCUCCGGGAGCUGAAAUGUACCUCAGAGAGGAGGAAAGGAGUAUGCUGAGGGGACAGGUGGGAGGAUCAUCUCUUUAUGCCAGUUCCUGUUGAUGCCUCAUCCUUCUUCUCUCCCUCCCUGGCACUUCAUCUAAAUAGCUGGAAAUGGCCAUCCAGAUAAAACAUACAGGGCAAGAAACUGUCACAGCAUCUCAGUUCACCCACUGGAUGCACAUGAGCCUCCAUAGUCAGAGGCUUCUAAGUUGGGGACCAUUGGACUGAAUGUUUACUGUUGCGAAGUGAAUUUGCCCAAGAACCAAGAUCAACUCAAUUGCCUUUGCUGGUCACAUUCUCUGUAUCUCAUAGGUUAGCCUCGUGGCUUCUGGAGGAAGUGUUACAAUCAGCACAUAUGAUCUUCUACACACAAGCAGUAUGGCUGGCAGACACUCAAGAGGGACAGCUUGCCCAUUUCUCCAUGGCUGGCAAAGCAGCACCUGUUGGAUUUCAGUUUACAACACUGUUCCACAAGGUUUGAGGCCUGUAUAUCAGAAAGGGGAAAAUGACACCUAUGCCCAUUGUGCAUAAGUAUCAAGACAACUGAGGUCUGUUUCUAGCUCAGAUGGAAAAAGUUCUGUUCAGUUAUAAAGGAGAAUUCAGACUGGUUAGUUUAGAAAAAUA